rnacentral:rRNA from 1 species
GACGAACGCUGGCGGCGUGCCUAAUACAUGCAAGUUGAGCGAUGAAGAUUGGUGCUUGCACCAAUUUGAAGAGCAGCGAACGGGUGAGUAACGCGUGGGGAAUCUGCCUUUGAGCGGGGGACAACAUUUGGAAACGAAUGCUAAUACCGCAUAAUAACUUUAAACAUAAGUUUUAAGUUUGAAAGGUGCAAUUGCAUCACUCAAAGAUGAUCCCGCGUUGUAUUAGCUAGUUGGUGAGGUAAAGGCUCACCAAGGCGAUGAUACAUAGCCGACCUGAGAGGGUGAUUGGCCACAUUGGGACUGAGACACGGCCCAAACGCCUACGGGAGGCAGCAGUAGGGAAUCUUCGGCAAUGGACGAAAGUCUGACCGAGCAACGCCGUGUGAGGGAAGAAGGUUUUCGGAUCGUAAAACUCUGUUGGUAGAGAAGAACGUUGGUGAGAGUGGAAAGCUCAUCAAGUGACGGUAACUACCCAGAAAGGGACGGCUAACUACGUG